UCAAGAAGGCAAAACGGGAGAGUUUUUUUCCACAGCUGUAGUGUUUGCCCUCUCUCCUCCACUUAUGCUGCUUUGGUGUCUACUUUAAAAGGUGGAAGUAUUCAUUACCAGCUCUGCAGUGCUCCUGAAGAAAAGACUGGAUCCUACCGGACCUGAGCCCUAGGACCAUGCAUCAGGACUACCUGGCCUGUUGACUCCUUGCUGUCCCCAGUCCACCUGGCCGUGCUGCUGCUCCAGUUUCAACUGUUCUGCCUGCGGCUAUGGAACCCCGACCUGUUCACCGGACGUGCUACCUGUCCCAGACCUGCUGUUUUCAACUCUCUAGAGUCAGCAGGAGCGGUAGAGAUACUCUCAAUGAUCGGCUAUGAAAAGCCAACUGACAUUUACUCCUGAGGUGCUGACUUGCUGCACCCUCAAGAACUACUGUGAUUAUUAUUAUUUGACCAUGCUGGUCAUUUAUGAACAUUUUUUAUUUAUUUUUAUUUUUUUUUUUUUUUUACCUUUAUUUAACUUGGCAAGUCAGUUAAGAACAAAUUCUUAUUUUCAAUGAUGGCCUAGGAACAGUGGGUUAACUGCCAGUUCAAAUAAAUUUGAUUUGAUUUGAUAUAGAGGGU